rnacentral:rRNA from 1 species
GCUUGUCUCAAAGAUUAAGCCAUGCAUGUCUAAGUAUAAACAACUUUAUACUGUAAAACUGCGAACGGCUCAUUAUAUCAGCAAUAAUUUAUUUGAUGGUUUCUUACCCCAUGGAUAACUGUGGUAAUUCUAGAGCUAAUACAUGCGUAAAGUCCCGACUCUUUCUGGGGAGGGAUGUAUUUAUUAGAUAACAGACCAAUAUUCCUCGUGUCUAUUGUGGUGAAUCAUAGUAACUGAUCGGAUCGCAUGGGCUACGCCCGCGACAAACCAUUCAAGUUUCUGCCCCAUCAGCUUUCGAUGGUAGUGUAUUGGACUACCAUGGCUUUUACGGGUAACGGAGGAUUAGGGUUCGAUUCCGGAGAGGGAGCCUGAGAAACGGCUACCACAUCUAAGGAAGGCAGCAGG